rnacentral:rRNA from 1 species
UACGGAGGGGGCUAGCGUUAUUCGGAAUUACUGGGCGUAAAGCGCACGUAGGCGGAUUGGAAAGUCAGAGGUGAAAUCCCAGAGCUCAACUUUGGAACUGCCUUUGAUACUGGGUAUCUUGAGUAUGGAAGAGGUGAGUGGAAUUCCGAGUGUAGAGGUGAAAUGCGUAGAUAUGCGGAGGAACACCAGUGGCGAAGGCGGCUCACUGGUCCAUUACUGACGCUGAGGUGCGAAAGCGUGGGGAGCAAACAGG